rnacentral:lncRNA from 1 species
UGCAGAGUCGACGUUGGUCAGGUCAAGUUUUCUAACACUUUAAAUUAGUUUUUUUAAUAUUUUUUCUUAUAUCUCUGUAUUCAACGUUAGAAUCUUCCUUGACAUCAAAUUUGAAGUCAAACCUUCAAAGAACAAAAAAGUUAUUAGCAUUUUACAUCGGUCAGGACAUUAGUCACGGGAGUACGUAGUUGGUCAGGUCAAGUUUUCUAACUCUUAAAAAUAUUUUUUUUCUUAUUUUUUCUUAUAUUUUUGUAUUAAAUGUAUUAUUCUUCCUUGGUAUCGAAUUUGAAGUCUAUCCUGUCAAUAAUAAAACAUUUUUUAGCCGUUUCACAUCGGUCAGGACAUUAGUAGUUUCAAAGUCAAGUUGGUCAGGUCAAAUUU